rnacentral:rRNA from 1 species
CCCUUAGAUGUCCUGGGCCGCACGCGCGUUACACUGAUGCAUUCAACGAGCUUAUAACCUUGGCCGAGAGGCCUGGGCAAUCUUGUUAACGUGCAUCGCGAUAGGGAUAGAUUAUUGAAAUUAUUAAUCUUGAACGAGGAAUUCCUAGUAAACGCAGAUCAUCAAUCUGCAUUGAUUACGUCCCUGCCCUUUGUACACACCGCCCGUCGCACCUACCGAUUGAAUGGUCCGGUGAAAAUUUCGGACAGUGACGAUGCUGGCGGUCCGCCGCCGGCGCUGUCGCUGGAAGAUCUUUAAACCUUAUCAUUUAGAGGAAGGAGAAGUCGUAACA